AUGAACGCUAGCUACAGGCUUAACACAUGCAAGUCGAGGGGCAGCAUGAACUUAGCUUGCUAAGUUUGAUGGCGACCGGCGCACGGGUGAGUAACACGUAUCCAACCUGCCGAUGACUCGGGGAUAGCCUUUCGAAAGAAAGAUUAAUACCCGAUGGCAUAGUUCUUCCGCAUGGUAGAACUAUUAAAGAAUUUCGGUCAUCGAUGGGGAUGCGUUCCAUUAGGUUGUUGGCGGGGUAACGGCCCACCAAGCCUUCGAUGGAUAGGGGUUCUGAGAGGAAGGUCCCCCACAUUGGAACUGAGACACGGUCCAAACUCCUACGGGAGGCAGCAGUGAGGAAUAUUGGUCAAUGGACGAGAGUCUGAACCAGCCAAGUAGCGUGAAGGAUGACUGCCCUAUGGGUUGUAAACUUCUUUUAUACGGGAAUAAAGUGAGGCACGUGUGCCUUUUUGUAUGUACCGUAUGAAUAAGGAUCGGCUAACUCCGUGCCAGCAGCCGCGGUAAUACGGAGGAUCCGAGCGUUAUCCGGAUUUAUUGGGUUUAAAGGGAGCGUAGGCGGACGCUUAAGUCAGUUGUGAAAGUUUGCGGCUCAACCGUAAAAUUGCAGUUGAUACUGGGUGUCUUGAGUACAGUAGAGGCAGGCGGAAUUCGUGGUGUAGCGGUGAAAUGCUUAGAUAUCACGAAGAACUCCGAUUGCGAAGGCAGCCUGCUGGACUGUAACUGACGCUGAUGCUCGAAAGUGUGGGUAUCAAACAGGAUUAGAUACCCUGGUAGUCCACACAGUAAACGAUGAAUACUCGCUGUUUGCGAUAUACAGUAAGCGGCCAAGCGAAAGCGUUAAGUAUUCCACCUGGGGAGUACGCCGGCAACGGUGAAACUCAAAGGAAUUGACGGGGGCCCGCACAAGCAGUGGAGUAUGUGGUUUAAUUCGAAGCAACGCGAAGAACCUUACCAGGGCUUGACAUAUAGAUGAAUAACUAAGAGAUUAGUUAGUCCUUCGGGACAUCUAUACAGGUGGUGCAUGGUUGUCGUCAGCUCGUGUCGUGAGAUGUUGGGUUAAGUCCCGCAACGAGCGCAACCCCUAUCUUCAGUAGCCAGCGGUAAGGCCGGGCACUCUGGAGAGACUGCCAGGGAUAACCUGGAGGAAGGCGGGGAUGACGUCAAAUCAUCAUGCCCCUUACGAGCAGGGCUACACACGUGCUACAAUGGCGUAAACAAAGGGAAGCGACCCCGUGAGGGUGAGCAAAUCUCAAAAAUAACGUCUCAGUUCGGAUUGUAGUCUGCAACUCGACUACAUGAAGCUGGAAUCGCUAGUAAUCGCGAAUCAGAAUGUCGCGGUGAAUACGUUCCCGGGCCUUGUACACACCGCCCGUCACACCAUGAGAGUCGGGAAUACCCGAAGCCUGUGAGCCAACAUAUUUAUAUGAGGCAGCAGUCGAAGGUAGAAUCGAUGAUUGGGGUG
rnacentral:rRNA from 1 species